rnacentral:rRNA from 1 species
AUUGAACGCUGGCGGCAGGCCUAACACAUGCAAGUCGAACGAGUGGCGGAAGGGUGAGUAAUGUCUGGGAAACUGCCCGAUGGAGGGGGAUAAGUACUGGAAACGGUAGCUAAUACCGCAUACCAUCGGAUGUGCCCAGAUGGGAUGAGGUAGUGGGUGGGGUAACGGCUCACCUAGGCGACGAUCCCUUGCUGGUCUGAGAGGAUGACCAGCCACACUGGAACUGAGACACGGUCCAGACUCCUACGGGAGGCAGCAGUGGGGAAUAUUGCACAAUGGGCGAAAGCCUGAUCCAGCCAUGCCGCGUGUAUGAAGAAGGCCUUCGGGUUGUAAAGUACUUUCAGCGAGGAGGCGUUACCCGCAGAAGAAGCACCGGCUAACUCCGUGCCAGCAGCCGCGGUAAUUC